rnacentral:rRNA from 1 species
AUGGUCCAUUUACCUUAUACUCAUGGCGAGACAGUGUCUCAGCAUCCUUUAGACUUUGUUACUUUGAUCUCGAGGGAUCAUCUCCCUUUGGCUCCACUAGUGACUUCUCUCAACACACCUGGAUAUACUUUAUUUUCUUCUCGUAGUAAGGUCUUAUCUAUAAGCCUUUUGCUGCCAUGGUCCACACUUAAUUCUCUACGCCUAUUCAUGUGUUCUAUGGUAACUCUAGUGGAGAGUUUCUCCAAGCUGUUGUGUGGAAUCCUUGCUGGGCAGACUUUGGUUCUCUUAUUCUGGUACUCAUGCUCAAAAUGGUGUGGCUGA